rnacentral:rRNA from 1 species
UGGGCGUAAAGGGCUCGCAGGCGGUUUCUUAAGUCUGAUGUGAAAGCCCCCGGCUCUACCGGGGAGGGUCAUUGGAAACUGGGGAACUUGAGUGCAGAAGAGGAGAGUGGAAUUCCACGUGUAGCGGUGAAAUGCGUAGAGAUGUGGAGGAACACCAGUGGCGAAGGCGACUCUCUGGUCUGUAACUGACGCUGAGGAGCGAAAGCGUGGGGAGCGAACAGGAUUAGAUACCCUGGUAGUCCACGCCGUAAACGAUGAGUGCUAAGUGUUAGGGGGUUUCCGCCCCUUAGUGCUGCAGCUAACGCAUUAAGCACUCCGCCUGGGGAGUACGGUCGCAAGACUGAAACUCAAAGGAAUUGACGGGGGCCCGCACAAGCGGUGGAGCAUGUGGUUUAAUUCGAAGCAACGCGAAGAACCUUACCAGGUCUUGACAUCCUCUGACAAUCCUAGAGAUAGGACGUCCCCUUCGGGGGCAGAGUGACAGGUGGUGCAUGGUUGUCGUCAGCUCGUGUCGUGAGAUGUUGGGUUAAGUCCCGCAACGAGCGCAACCCUUGAUCUUAGUUGCCAGCAUUCAGUUGGGCACUCUAAGGUGACUGCCGGUGACAAACCGGAGGAAGGUGGGGAUGACGUCAAAUCAUCAUGCCCCUUAUGACCUGGGCUACACACGUGCUACAAUGGACAGAACAAAGGGCAGCGAAACCGCGAGGUUAAGCCAAUCCCACAAAUCUGUUCU